GCAAGUCGAGCGAGAAAGUACUUCGGUACGAGUACAGCGGCGGACGGGUGAGUAACGCGUAGGAAUCUACCUAGUAGUGGGGGACAACUCGUGGAAACGCGAGCUAAUACCGCAUACGCCCUACGGGGGAAAGCGGGGGAUCUUCGGACCUCGCGCUAUUAGAUGAGCCUGCGUAAGAUUAGCUAGUUGGUGGGGUAAAAGCCUACCAAGGCGACGAUCUUUAGCUGGUCUGAGAGGAUGAUCAGCCACACCGGGACUGAGACACGGCCCGGACUCCUACGGGAGGCAGCAGUCGGGAAUAUUGCGCGAUGGGCGAAAGCCUGACGCAGCCAUGCCGCGUGUGUGAGGAAGGCCCUAGGGUUGUAAAGCACUUUCAAUUGGGAGGAAAAGCUAAUGGUUAAUAGCUAUUAGCCCUGACGUUACCUUUAGAAGAAGCACCGGCUAACUCCGUGCCAGCAGCCGCGGUAAUACGGAGGGUGCAAGCGUUAAUCGGAAUUACUGGGCGUAAAGCGCGCGUAGGCGGCUCUUUAAGUCGGAUGUGAAAGCCCCGGGCUCAACCUGGGAAACUGCAUCCGAUACUGGGGGGCUAGAGUGUAGGAGAGGGAGGUAGAAAUCCAUGUGUAGCAGUGAAAUGCCGUAAAUAUAUGGAGGAAUACAGUGGCGAAGGCGGCCUCCUGGCUUAACACUGACGCUGAGGUGCGAAAGCGUGGGGAGCAAACGGGAUUAGAUACCCCGGUAGUCCACGCCGUAAACGAUGUCUACUA
rnacentral:rRNA from 1 species